GCCAUCAGGUGAAGCCCACGUUCCCAUUGUAAUCAUCUCCACGGUGCCUCUCGUCAACCCUAACGGAGGAGGCACCCACCCAGUCUACCGAGGGGAUGGCAAAGGCGCACGGCGCGGCGGCGGCCCCAUCCCGAGACGGCGGGUACAUGUCGGACACGCACGACGAGGGUCGACUGCAAGAGAAAGAAGGAGAUGGCGGACGAUUAGCCGCCACCGAUGCAGGUCCCAAACCAGUGGGUCGCCACAACUCCCUGAGCGACCGCGUCAGCGAGAGCCUUUGCAUCUCCGAGGAUGUCGCUGUCGACGACCAGAGCUCUCAGCGACGACGUGGCCCGCCCGCGUCCCAUCGAGGCCGUGGAGGCGUCAGUUAGUAAGGGCCACGGAGUGUAGAAAAGGGCGAGCGGCCAUGCAGGAGGCCAAGGAGGCCACAAGUGAGGCAUCCAGCUCGACUUCGCCAUGCGGGUCGCGCUGCACAUUCGUCCCAUCGCCGGCAAAGCAUUCGUCAGUUGGGAAGGUGGGCAAGCAGAUUCAACAGCUUGAUGGUCAAUGCUGAUGAUUGGGAUUCCAUGGAUCCAUGCAAUAUAUGUACAUAUUUGAUCAUGUCUCCUGGAUCUGAUCAACCUUGGUAGAAGAAGCCAACAAUGUGGAGCAGUGCAAUCUCUCUGCCACUUAGCCCUUGUAGGCAGUGCGGUAAUUAGCAAUUAAACUCGAAUUAUAAAUCUUAAAACACAUGGUAAAAUACUUAGCAAACAAAUUUUUUUCCGGUACACAUCAAAUUUCAGGUUUGAAUGUUGUAUUAUUGCAUGAAACCAAUACUAUAGGUACUAUACAAUCGGCAUUUAAAUUCC